rnacentral:rRNA from 1 species
GACGAACGCUGGCGGCGUGCUUAACACAUGCAAGUCGAACGGAAAGGCCCUGCUUUUGUGGGGUGCUCGAGUGGCGAACGGGUGAGUAACACGUGAGUAACCUGCCCUUGACUUUGGGAUAACUUCAAGAAACUGGGGCUAAUACCGGAUAGGAGCUCCUGCUGCAUGGUGGGGGUUGGAAAGUUUCGGCGGUUGGGGAUGGACUCGCGGCUUAUCAGCUUGUUGGUGGGGUAGUGGCUUACCAAGGCUUUGACGGGUAGCCGGCCUGAGAGGGUGACCGGCCACAUUGGGACUGUGAUACGGCCCAGACUCCUACGGGAGGCAGCAGUGGGGAAUAUUGCACAAUGGGCGGAAGCCUGAUGCAGCAACGCCGCGUGCGGGAUGACGGCCUUCGGGUUGUAAACCGCUUUCGCCUGUGACGAAGCGUGAGUGACGGUAAUGGGUAAAGAAGCACCGGCUAACUACGUG